CACUGCAAGCAAAACACAGCCCCUCCCUCCUCCCGCAGCAGCCUGCCUCCGGGAGAGGGAAUCCAUCAUUGCAGGGGAGGGUGUGGAAGAAGCGCAUGGCAGAGAGUAUGACCAGGUUUUUGGAGAUGAGAAGCGUCAAGUCAGGCCUGGUGACCCUCUGCCAGGCCUCUGGGGAGGAUCUUCGUCGGAUCCUUAAUCCACCUCCUGCUGAGGCACCACACCCCCAACAUGGAUGCCUGUGGAAAUCCUAAAGAAACCGUCAGGAGUUGGCCCCUUUUCAUUUUUCCCUGCUUGGGAGGUGAUGUGAUGGGCGGAUCUAGCAACCUGUCAGGACGGAUCUUAAAUCUUGGGAACAGAGCUGUCCACGGGGCUGGAAAAACCAUUUGCUUCCCCGGCAAUCAGGGUCCCUCCGUUCCGGCCUCAGUGGUGCAGCAAUCUCUCGAGAGGCAGCUGGUCGCAGUGAGAAGAGGGUGAGAUCCGGAGCCUGGUGUCAUCGCUUACUCACUCUGUGACCUGGAGCGGCUCCCAUGACCCCUGCAAGCCUGGACCCCCGCCCCGGUGAAACAGAGACAAUGAUACCGCUUGCAACACAGCUUCCUGUGAAGGUCAAGUGAGAGGACGUGGACCAAAGCUUUAAAAGGGUAGAAUAAUGCACGGUUACGGGGGGUCUUUUAAGCCAAGGGAUUUGGCCAA